rnacentral:rRNA from 1 species
CAGGCAUGGGGGCACCCUGACCGCAAUGCCGCGUGAGUGAAGAAGGCCUUCGGGUUGUAAAGCUCUUUUGUCAGGGAAGAAACACCGGCUCUAACACAGUCCUGGAAUGACGGUACCUGAAGAAUAAGCACCGGCUAACUACGUGCCAGCAGCCGCGGUAAUACGUAGGGUGCAAGCGUUAAUCGUAAUUACUGGGCGUAAAGCGUGCGCAGGCGGUUAUACAAGACAGGCGUGAAAUCCCCGGGCUUAACCUGGGAAUGGCGCCUGUGACUGUAUAGCUAGAGUGUGUCAGAGGGGGGUAGAAUUCCACGUGUAGCAGUGAAAUGCGUAGAUAUGUGGAGGAAUACCAAUGGCGAAGGCAGCCCCCUGGGAUAACACUGACGCUCAUGCACGAAA